GACGAACGCUGGCGGCGUGCCUAAUACAUGCAAGUCGAGCGGACUGAAUGGGAGCUUGCUCUUGUUCGGUCAGCGGCGGACGGGUGAGUAACACGUGGACAACCUGCCCGCAAGACCGGGAUAACUCCGGGAAACCGGAGCUAAUACCGGAUAACACCGAAGACCGCAUGGUCUUUGGUUGAAAGGCGGCGCAAGCUUCCACUUGCGGAUGGGCCCGCGCCGCAUUAGCUAGUUGGUAAGGUAACGGUUCACCAAGGCAACGAUGCGUAGCCGACCUGAGGGGGUGCUCGGCCCCAUUGGGACGGGGAAACGGCCAGGACCCCUACGGGAGGCAGCGUAGGGGAUUCUUCGGCAAUGGGCGAAGGCCUGACGGGCCACGGCGGCGUGGGUGAGGAGGGUCUUCGGUUGGAAAGCUUCUGUUUGUGGGGCGAAAGAGAUGUGUAUGUAGAUGUGCGCGUGGUGACGGUACCUAACGAGGAAGCCCCGGCUAACUACGUG
rnacentral:rRNA from 1 species